rnacentral:rRNA from 1 species
UGAAUACUAUUGGAGGGCAAGUCUGGUGCCAGCAGCCGCGGUAAUUCCAGCUCCAAGAGCGUAUAUAAAUGUUGUUGCGGUUAAAAAGCCCGUAGUUGGAUUUGAGGAUGCUUCUUGUAUUCGGACCUGCGUGAAGGGGUUUCCUGGAAUGUAGGGACGAGUACGUUACGGAGGUAUCCUGACAUAUGCGGGAUUGUCCACUGGCCGAAGCUUCCUUAACUGGUAGCUGAAGCAACUUCGGAGCUUCUACACUCCAUAAGGUGCGCCCGCAGACGUCACUGUGAGUAAAACAGAGUGUUCAAGGCAGCCAACUUGUUUGGUUGAAUGUUAAAGCAUGGAAUGACAAGGGAUCGACCACUGAAGCCGCUUUUUGUCUAUUACUUUAAGCCUCAGUGAGGAAACAUUGAGGGGGUGUCCUGGUGCUCAUUCGUGGGUGUCAGGCGCCCUUUUCGCCGGGAUCAAUAGGAGCACAGGGGGUCAUGAGUACUGGAGGGCUAGAGGUGAAAUUCCAAGACCCCUCCAAGACUGACAUCGGCGAAAGCACUCGACUAUUGUGCUUUCAUUAAUCAAGGACGAGAGAUAGGGGAUCGAAGAGGAUUAGACACCCUCGUAGUCCUUUCUGUAAAUUCUGCAGACUUGGGAUCGGUCAGCGUUCUACUUUUUGACCUGAUCGGCACCUUCCUCCGACAUCGAGAAAUCAAAGUCUUUGUGUUCCGGGGGGAGUACAUUCGCAAGGCUGAAACUCAAAGGAAUUGACGGGGACCCGCACAAGCGGUGGAUGAUGUGGAUUAAUUCGAUGCAACGCGAACAACCUUACCUACCCUUGACAUGUCCGAGAGCCCGCUGAAAGGUGGGUGUGCCUGAAAGGGAAUCGGAACACAGGUGCUGCAUGGCUGUCGUCAGCUCGUGUCGUGAGAUGUUGGGUUAAGUCCCGCAACGAGCGCAACCCUUGUCCCUAGUUGCUACGCAAGGGCACUCUAGGGAGACUGCCGGUGACAAACCGGAGGAAGGUGGGGAUGACGUCAAGUCCUCAUGGCCCUUAUGGGUAGGGCUUCACACGUCAUACAAUGGACGGUACAGAGGGUCGCCAACCCGCGAGGGGGAGCCAAUCCCAGAAAGCCGUUCGAAGUCCGGAUUGCAGUCUGCAACUCGACUGCAUGAAGUCGGAAUCGCUAGUAAUCGCGGAUCAGCAUGUCGCGGUGAAUACGUUCCCGGGUCUUGUACACACCGCCCGUCACACCAUGGGAGCGGGAUGUACCAGAAGUAGGUAGGCUAACCGCAAGGGGGCCGCUUACCACGGUGCGUUUCGUGACUGGGGUGAAGUCGUAACAAGGUA